AUCGCUUCUUGGCCUUUUGGUUAAGAUCAAGUGUAGUAUCUGUUCAGUAGUGUGUAGUAAGAACAAUCUUAUCAAUCUGCCUAUAGAAUUCAAAGAUCCCUUACAAAACCACUACAAUGGUUCCCAACCAUGAGUUCCUAGAUGUCCUUGGACUAAAACUCCUAGAAGCCUUCAGCACUAGCUGUGCUGGCCAAAA
rnacentral:snRNA from 1 species